CAUUUGCGUCCGCCCGGGUACAGGAAACUGAGCUCCGCGGUACGCUCGGCCACACUAGACAGAGUGCCUGCUAUGCGCUCACCUCCUGCCGGUCACUCCGGCUUUGCGCCCACCGGGCCGGUGCCGCCUUGUGUAUGCGCCGGCGGAACGCACCCUCCCUCCGGCGACCUAUGGCCGCGUGCCCACAGAGGGGGCUCGGCGUGCCACCUGUGGCACGCAUGCCAUAGGUUCGCCAUCACUGGUCUAAAUGCCAUCACUGGUCUAGCUUAUGAAGCCUUCCCACGCCCUGCUAUUUGUCUUAGAGAGCUUUGAUUG